rnacentral:rRNA from 1 species
AUACGGAGGGUCCAAGCGUUAUCCGUAUUUAUUGGGUUUAAAGGGUGCGCAGGCGGAUUGGUAAGUCAGUGGUGAAAUCCCGAGGCUCAACUUCGGAACUGCCAUUGAUACUGCCAGUCUUGAAUUCGGUUGAAGUGGGCGGAAUGUAGCAUGUAGCGGUGAAAUGCAUAGAGAUGCUACAGAACACCGAUCGCGAAGGCAGCUCACUAAGCCGAUAUUGACGCUCAGGCACGAAAGCGUGGGGAGCGAACAGGAUUAGAAACCCGGGUAGUCC